rnacentral:tRNA from 1 species
GGUUGAAUAGUUUAAAGAAAACAUUAGAUUGCAAAUUUAAAGAUGUGAAUUAACUUCAAUCU